AUUGAACGCUGGCGGCAUGCCUUACACAUGCAAGUCGAACGGCAGCACGGGAGCAAUCCUGGUGGCGAGUGGCGAACGGGUGAGUAAUAUAUCGGAACGUGCCCAGUCGUGGGGAUAACGUAGCGAAAGCUACGCUAAUACCGCAUACGAUCUAUGGAUGAAAGCGGGGGAUCGCAAGACCUCGCGCGAUUGGAGCGGCCGAUAUCAGAUUAGGUAGUUGGUGAGGUAAAGGCUCACCAAGCCGACGAUCUGUAGCUGGUCUGAGAGGACGACCCAGCCACACUGGGACUGAGACACGGCCCAGACUCCUACGGGAGGCAGCAGUGGGGAAUUUUUGGACAAUGGGCGCAAGCCUGAUCCAGCAAUGUCGCGUGCAGGAUGAAGGCCU
rnacentral:rRNA from 1 species